rnacentral:rRNA from 1 species
GACGAACGCUGGCGGCGUGCCUAAUACAUGCAAGUCGAACGCACUCUCGUUUAGAUUGAAGGAGUUUGCUCCUGAUUGAUAAACAUUUGAGUGAGUGGCUGACGGGUGAGUAACACGUGGGUAACCUGCCCUAAAGUGGGGGAUAACAUUUGGAAACAGAUGCUAAUACCGCAUAAAACCUAACACCGCAUGGUGUAGGGUUGAAAGAUGGUUUCGGCUAUCACUUUAGGAUGGACCCGCGGUGCAUUAGUUAGUUGGUGAGGUAAAGGCUCACCAAGGCCGUGAUGCAUAGCCGACCUGAGAGGGUAAUCGGCCACACUGGGACUGAGACACGGCCCAGACUCCUACGGGAGGCAGCAGUAGGGAAUCUUCCACAAUGGACGAAAGUCUGAUGGAGCAACGCCGCGUGAGUGAAGAAGGUUUUCGGAUCGUAAAACUCUGUUGUUGGAGAAGAAUGUAUCUGAUAGUAACUGAUCAGGUAGUGACGGUAUCCAACCAGAAAGCCACGGCUAACUACGUG